rnacentral:rRNA from 1 species
GUUAGACGGGGCCCGGCACAAGCGGUGGAGUAUGUGGUUUAAUUCGAUGCAACGCGAAGAACCUUACCUGGUCUUGACAUCCCGGAGACCCUUAGGAAACUAGGGGGUGCUUCCAUCUGGAAGAAUCUGGAGACAGGUGCUGCAUGGCUGUCGUCAGCUCGUGUCGUGAGAUGUUGGGUUAAGUCCCGCAACGAGCGCAACCCUUGCCUUUAGUUGCCAGCAGUUCGGCUGGGCACUCUAAAGGGACUGCCGGUGUUAAACCGGAGGAAGGUGGGGAUGACGUCAAGUCCUCAUGGCCUUUAUGACCAGGGCUACACACGUACUACAAUGGCCGAUACAAAGGGCAGCGACACUGCGAGGUGAAGCCAAUCCCGUAAAAUCGGUCUCAGUCCGGAUUGGAGUCUGCAACUCGACUCCAUGAAGUUGGAAUCGCUAGUAAUCGUGGAUCAGCAUGCCACGGUGAAUACGUUCCCGGGCCUU